rnacentral:rRNA from 1 species
AUUGAACGCUGGCGGCAUGCUUUACACAUGCAAGUCGAACGGCAGCACGGGGGCAACCCUGGUGGCGAGUGGCGAACGGGUGAGUAAUAUAUCGGAACGUACCCGGAAAUGGGGGAUAACGUAGCGAAAGUUACGCUAAUACCGCAUAUGCCCUAAGGGGGAAAGCGGGGGAUUCGCAAGAACCCCGCGUUUUCGGAGCGGCCGAUAUCGGAUUAGCUAGUAGGUGAGGUAAAGGCUCACCUAGGCGACGAUCCGUAGCUGGUCUGAGAGGACGACCAGCCACACUGGAACUGAGACACGGUCCAGACUCCUACGGGAGGCAGCAGUGGGGAAUUUUGGACAAUGGGCGCAAGCCUGAUCCAGCCAUGCCGCGUGAGUGAAGAAGGCCUCGGUUGUAAGCGACUUCUAGUGGGGAGGGAAAAGGACGUAGGUGGGCGUAA